rnacentral:rRNA from 1 species
AUUGAACGCUGGCGGCAUGCCUUACACAUGCAAGUCGAACGGUAACAGGUCUCCGGCUGCUGGCGUGUGGCGCACGGGUGAGUAAUACAUCGGAACGUGUCCGAUCGUGGGGGAUAACGAGGCGAAAGCUUUGCUCAUACCGCAUACGAUCUACGGAUGAGAGCGGGGGAUCUUCGGACACCGCGCGGUCGGAGCGGCCGAUGGCAGAUUAGGUAGUUGGUGGGAUAAAAGCUUACCAAGCCGACGAUCUGUAGCUGGUCUGAGAGGAUGAUCAGCCACACUGGGACUGAGACACGGCCCAGACUCCUACGGGAGGCAGCAGUGGGGAAUUUUGGACAAUGGGCGAAAGCCUGAUCCAGCCAUGCCGCGUGCAUGAUGAAGGCCUUCGGGUUGUAAACUGCUUUUGUACGGAACGAAAGGCCGCUUUCUAAUAAAGAGCGGUCAUGACGGUACCGAAAGAAUAAGCACCGGCUAACUACGUG